CACGGCCAAUUUGGUGACUUUUGGUUCUGAGAUGCCUGGCCAGUUGAGACUCUUGUGGGGGGGAAAAAAAAAGCGCAGGACUUUUCUUUCUGUAUAUGUUUUCCUUAGUAUUAGUGGCAUGACAAACUCCCUCCAUAAUUAAUGGUUUGCAAUAAUUCUUUGUUUGUGUAAUGUUUGGGAUAAACUGGCUACUUGGAGUAAGGUCCUGCAUUUAUGAGAAGG